rnacentral:rRNA from 1 species
GAUGAACGCUGGCGGCGUGCCUAAUACAUGCAAGUCGAGCGAACAGACGAGGAGCUUGCUCCUCUGACGUUAGCGGCGGACGGGUGAGUAACACGUGGAUAACCUACCUAUAAGACUGGGAUAACUUCGGGACACCGGAGCUAAUACCGGAUAAUCUAUUGAACCGCAUGGUUCAAUAGUGAAAGACGGUUUUGGUGUCAGUUAUCGAUGGAUCCGCGCUGGUGUAGAUAGUUGUUAAGGUAACGGCUUUUCACGGCAACGAUGCGUAUGCGACCUGCGAGAGGGAUCGGCCACACUGGAACUUAGACACGGUCCAGACUCCUGCGGGAGGCAGCAGUAGGGAAUCUUCCGCAAUGGGCGAAAGCUUGACGCAGCAACGCCGCGUGAGUGAUGAAGGUCUUCGGAUCGUAAAACUCGGUUAUUAGGGAAGAACAAAUGUGUAAGUAACUAUGCACGUCUUGACGGUACCUAAUCAGAAAGCCACGGCUAACUACGUG